rnacentral:tRNA from 1 species
GCGGGAGUAGCUCAGCUGGUAGAGCGACAGCCUUCCAAGCUGUAUGUCGAGGGUUCGAAUCCCUUCUCCCGCUCCA